rnacentral:rRNA from 1 species
AUUGAACGCUGGCGGUAGGCCUAACACAUGCAAGUCGAACGGCAGCACAGUAAUAGCUUGCUCUUACGGGUGGCGAGUGGCGGACGGGUGAGGAAUACAUCGGAAUCUACUUUUUCGUGGGUGAUAACGUAGGGAAACUUACGCUAAUACCGCAUACGACCUACGGGUGAAAGCAUGGGAUCUUCGGACCUUGCGCGAUUCAAUGAGCCGAUGUCGGAUUAGCUAGUUGGCGGGGUAAAGGCCCACCAAGGCGACGAUCCGUAGCUGGUCUGAGAGGAUGAUCAGCCACACUGGAACUGAGACACGGUCCAGACUCCUACGGGAGGCAGCAGUGGGGAAUAUUGGACAAUGGGCGAAAGCCUGAUCCAGCCAUACCGCGUGGGUGAAGAAGGUCUUCGGGUUGUAAAGCCCUUUUGGUGGGGAAGAAAAGCAGCAGGUUAAUACCUCGCUGUUUUGACGUUACCAAAAGAAUAAGCACCGGCUAACUUCGUG